AGCAGCCGCGGUAAUUCCAGCUCCAAUAGCGUAUAUUAAAGUUGUUGCAGUUAAAAAGCUCGUAGUUGAAUUUCGGGACCAAUCUGCCGGUCGUGCCUCCGGUACGCACUGGUUUUAUUGGUUUCUCCCUUCUGACGAACCAUGAUGUCAUUAAUUUGGUGUCAUGGGGAAUCAGGACUGUUACUUUGAAAAAAUUAGAGUGUUUAUAGCAGGCUCACGCUUGAAUACAUUAGCAUGGAAUAAUGAAGUAGGACGUUUGACCCUAUUUUGUUGGUUUCUAGGAUCGACGUAAUGAUUAAUAGGGAUAGUUGGGGGCAUUAGUAUUCAAUUGUCAGAGGUGAAAUUCUUGGAUUUAUUGAAGACUAACUACUGCGAAAGCAUUUGCCAAGGAUGUUUUCAUUAAUCAAGAACGAAAGUUAGGGGAUCGAAGACGAUCAGAUACCGUCGUAGUCUUAACCAUAAACUAUGCCGACUAGGGAUCGGAUGAUGUUAAUUUUUAAUGACUCAUUCGGCGCCUUAA
rnacentral:rRNA from 1 species